rnacentral:rRNA from 1 species
CACGUAGGGGGCAAGCGUUGUCCGGAUUUAUUGGGCGUAAAGAGCUCGUAGGCGGCUUAGUAAGUCGGGUGUGAAACCUCCAGGCUCAACCUGGAGACGCCACCCGAUACUGUCUGUGGCUAGAGUCCGGUAGGGGGAGCGUGGAAUCCUGGUGUAGCGGUGAAAUGCGUAGAUAUGUGGAGGAACACCGAUGGCGAAGGCAGCCCC